GAUGAACGCUGGCGGCAUGCCUAAUACAUGCAAGUCGAGCGGACAGACGAGGCUCUUUCUUCUCUUCCGUUAGCGACGGACGGGUAAUUCCCCCGUGGAUAACUUACCUAUCGGGAUACGGUACCUUCUCGACCCCUGAUCUAAUAUCCGUUCUUAUAUUGAACCGGAUGGUUCUUUAGUGCCAGCCGUUUUUGCUGUCCCUUCUACAUGUUACCGAGCCGCAUUAGCUAGUUGGUACGGUAACGGCUUACCAAGGCUACGAUGCGUAGCCGACCUGAGAGGGUGAUCAGCCACACUGGAACUGAGACACGGUCCAGACUCCUACGGGAGGCAGCAGUAGGGAAUAUUGGGCAAUGGGCGAAAGCCUGAUGGAGCAACGCCGCGUGGGUGAAGAAGGUCUUCGGAUAGUAAAGCACUGUAAGUAGGGAAGAAGAAAAGUGUGAGAAAAUAUGGACGUAUUGACGGUACCUAAAGAAUAAGCAGCGGCUAACUACGUG
rnacentral:rRNA from 1 species